rnacentral:rRNA from 1 species
CGAUUAGCCUGCUAGUUGCGCGAGUUCAGACUCGCAGCAGAUAGCUCAGUAACACGUGGCCAAUUCUACCCUGCAGACACGGACAACCUCGGGAAACUGAGGCUCCUUCCGCGAUACCGAUCCCACGCUGGAAUGCCGGGAUCCACAAACGCUCCGGCGCUGCAGGAUGCGGCUGCGGCCGAUUAGGUAGACGGUGGGGUAACGGCCCACCGUGCCGAUAAUCGGUACGGGUUGUGAGAGCAAGAGCCCGGAGACGGAAUCUGAGACAAGAUUCCGGGCCCUACGGGGCGCAGCAGGCGCGAAACCUUUACACUGCACGCAAGUGCGAUAAGGGGACUCCGAGUGCGAGGGCAUAUAGUCCUCGCUUUUGAGAACCGUAAGGUGGUUCUCGAAUAAGAGCUGGGCAAGACCGGUGCCAGCCGCCGCGGUAAUACCGGCAGCUCAAGUGAUGGCCAAUCUUAUUGGGCCUAAAGCGUCCGUAGCUGGCCGUGAAAGUUCGUCGGGAAAUCCAUCCGCUCAACGGAUGGGCGUCCGGCGAAAACUUCACGGCUUGGGACCGGAAGGCUCGAGGGGUACGUCCGGGGUAGGAGUGAAAUCCUGUAAUCCUGGACGGACCGCCGAUGGCGAAAGCACCUCGAGAAGACGGAUCCGACAGUGAGGGACGAAAGCUAGGGUCUCGAACCGGAUUAGAUACCCGGGUAGUCCUAGCCGUAAACGAUGUUUCACUAGGUGUGGCACAGGCUACGAGCCUGUGCUGUGCCGUAGGGAAGCCGAGAAAUGAAACGCCUGGGAAGUACGUCCGCAGGAUGAAACUUAAAGGAUUGGGCGGG